UAGAUUGUUACGAAGUAUAGUUUGUCUUCGUAAGAAGGAGUCUUCGGAUGUAAUGUUAUUUGUACUAAGGCAUUAUAAAGAGUAGUCUUAAUGUCUAGUCCUUAGUAUUGUUAUGCUUUUGUUCACCUAUAAAUAGGGGUCUGUACUAAGUGAUUAGUAAUCGCUUUUCUCUCAGUCUUUACAGUUUAUUCAUUGUAAUCUGUAAACACAAAAGCAUAAUACGAGCUGAACAAAUAUUCUAUUUACUCUCGUAUUCAUCGUGAUUACUCUUCCUGAAUUCAUAUUUGAAUUUGAUUCAAACUCGAUCACAAAUUUCAUCAAUUGGUAUCAGAGCGGGAAUCCUUUCUGUGAUCCGAUUUUCAUACGUUCAAAAAGAUUUUUGAAUCUACUGUUUGAUUCAAAAAGUUUCCGUUCUUUUUUAGUGUGAAAAAUUCUUCUUGAUCUAAAUCUAGGAUUUGAUUCUGCAAACAUAUUUGUGAAUCGAGUGUUCAUUGUGUGAUUCUGAUUUGAAAUAUACAAUUUGAUUUCAAAAUUCUCAAAGUUUUCGUAUCAUCUUGAAGUUUUUGUCCGUACAACAAUGGCGUCAUUCAACCUGAAUUCCAUGACAUCAUUUUCUCAUUUGCUUGGAUCAUCCACAAAAAUUCCGAUGCUUAUUCCAGAAUAUUAUGAUCAGUGGGCAGAUCGCAUGCAAGAUUACUUGAACGGAUUGGAUGAAGAAUUAUGGAAAUGCAUCUCAGGAGAAAUCAAUCAACCUGCACAAGUUCAGCCAAUCGGUAUGUCUUCAAGCAGUUCGGAAGUCAAUGAUCAAACCAAUCGUUUAAAACAACUGGAGAAGAAAUGCAUGAGGGAAUUAAGAGGUGCUUUGCCUCCUGUUGUGUACAAUUAUGUCAGAACAUGCACAACAGCUAAAGAAAUCGGGAACAAUCUCAAAGACAAAUUUCAAGGAAGUGAAAAGAUGAAGAUCACAUCUGUGAAACAAUGCCUGGUGGAACUCAAAGAUUUCAAACAAAAAGAAUCUGAGUCUAUUGAAGUAUACUAUGAUCGGUUCAACGAACUAAUCUAUCGUUGUAAUCGUUAUAGUAUUACAAGGUCAUCAAUGGAAUAUAACUUGAUAUUUGUAAUGGGACUUCGAAAGGAGUGGAGGAGUGUAAGUAUGAUGGUGAAAAAUCAACAGAGUUUUGAUACUUCGACUUUAAAUGACUUGUACAAUCAAUUAAAAUCUCAUGAAAAUGAGGUUAAUGAAAUAGCUGAGGAAGCAAUAGCAAGUCUUGGUGGACCAUUGGCACUUGUUUCGAAGGCUUCAGAAAGAGAGAAUGAAAAAUCGAAGUCUGAUGAAGAAGAAGGUUUUCUGAUGAAUUCUGAUGAUGAGGCUGUUGCAUUUUACUCAAACAAUCGAGUAAAGAAAUUUUUUAAGAAACCUUUUAAUCCAAAGAAGUCAUCAGAUUCGAAGGGUAGUUUUGAGAACAAAAAUAAAGUGGAUGAAAAGAAGAAAGAAAUGAAGACAGAUUCGAAGAGUGAAAUGGAGCAAAUGAAGAUGAUGUUGAAAGGUGAUACAUGGAUUAAUUGUCAUUAUUGCUAUGGAGCAAAUCACUUGGCAGUAGAUUGCUUGUUGAGGAAGAAGGAGGAAAAGAAAAAUAAAACAAAGGAUGAAGCGUAUCUAAGCUUCUUGAACUCAUACACCUUUGCCUUAGAAAGCUCACAUGUGUGUCUAAAGAAAUUUAGAGCUUAUGUUACUAAGUCCCAAAUGUUCAGACCAAUUGCCAAAUCUCACAAUUCGAACUAUGAAAAGGGAUUCUGUAAUCAUAAUCAAAUUUGAGAAUACAAUUUUCACAAUUGCAAUCUUCUUAAAAUCUCUCUUAGUGAAAGCAUUUCCUCACAAUCAUUUUCAUGAAGGAGAUAAACCUUAUGACACUUAGAUUUUAAAGUGUAUGUGUUCCUAUCCAUGUGAAUUUGUCAUAACAACAAUCAUAAGACAAUGUUUGUGACAAAUCCAACUCAUAUAGAUUGAACUUGUUCAAUCUUGAUUUUUCGCCUUAUGGCAACAUGAAUGCCCACCAUUGCUUCCAGGUUGUUAAGCAUCUCACCCUUACCUUAUCAAUGUACUUUCCAUUGAUCAGGGUGCCUUGCCAUUAUGCAAUCCAAUUGAGAACUCACAGAGCUCAUAUUGCAUAGUUGACUUAAUUUGGAAUGGCACAGAAACAAAAUUAUGUCAACACGAUAGGUCGCCAACCUCAAGUCGUGUGCUUGUGAUUAACUAUCGGUUUAUUCUUGAUUAGCUCUUGAACUUUUCAAGACAAUUAAGACUCCCACUGACUUCUUGGCAUAUAUGAUUCUCUUUGUCAAGGAACUUUUCUUGACAAAACAAAUAUUCAAGAGUUAGUGCGAAAUCCUAUCAAGACUAACACUUCACUCAAUUGGUUCUUGUUGGUCUCUGUCUUCUGCAAGACAUCACAACUUACCAAUUUCAAAUGUGCAGGAAUAAGAAUACUUUUUCCAAUUCCACAUUUGUUGAGUGUUUUAAACCUACUAAUUACGUGUCACUCAAUUCGCAAUCUUGGAGUAUGACUCUAAGACUCGAUAUUGGAACGAAGUAUGAUUGACUUCUUGAUUUAACCAUUUCCUCAAUUCUUGAUUCCUCUUCUUAGACAUACAAAUAUACUAAGACUCACUUAGAGGAUCAAUUGAGAUAUGGUUCUUAAUCAUUAAGACUUAUCAUAAAACACAAUAAAAGGUACUCUCCCUUCUUCUUAGAAUAGAGAAACUUUUAUCUUUCUGCCUACUUGAUUCUUCUUAUUCGUUCUGCUAUUUACUGAAACUCUUCCAAUGAACUCAGAAUUAUAAGCAUAACCAUAUUUAGUAAACUUUAGUAAAUCAUGACGAAUAUCUUUAUCAGUCUUGUGGCGGAUUUGAUCAACGCACAACCUAGUGUACUCGAUCUCCUAGUCCUUCACUUGACACUUUGUCAAAGAAUUAGUCUAAUUUCCAAAUAUGAAGUUUCCCAUUCAUCACACAACCAAGUUGUAUGAUUCCAAGUUUCUGUCCAAUUGAAACUAGGGCGAUGAGAAACUCUCCCUAUUUGGUAAACUUUUGACAUUACCACAAAUAGCAAAACAAAGAAUCACAUCCAAUUCAACAUUGCUAAAAACAGAAAUACAAACACCCAGUUUCACACACAUGCCAUUGCAAGUAGUAGCUCCUGUUAGGGCCUAAAUGUUGUAAUAGUCGAAGUGUCAGUUAGAUUGUUACGAAGUUUAUUUUGUCUUCGUAAGAAGGAGUCUUCGGAUGUAAUGUUAUUUGUACUAAGGCAUUAUAAAGAGUAGUCUUAAUGUCUAGUCCUUAGUAUUGUUAUGCUUUUGUUCUCCUAUAAAUAGGGGUCUGUACUAAGUGAGUAGAACAACUUUUUACUCAGCUUUUACAGAUUAUUCUUUGUACUCUGUAAAAUCAAAAGCAUAAUAUGAGCUGAACAAAUAUUAUAUUUACUCUGGUGUUCAUCGUUAUUUCUUUUUCUAAAUUCAUACUUGAAUUGAUUUUAAACUCGAUUACAAAUCUCAUCAAUUGGUAUCAGAGCAGGAAUCCUUUCUGUGAUCUGAUUUUCAUACGUUCAAAAAGAUUUUUGAAUCUACUGUUUGAUUCAAAAAGUUUCCGUUCUUUUUGAGUGUGAAAAAUUCUUCUUGAUCUCAAUCUAGGAUUUGAUUCUGCAAAAAUAUUUGUAAAUCGAGUGUUCUUUGUGUGAUUCUGAUUUGAAAUAUACAAUUUGCUUUCAAUAUUCUCAAAGUUUUUGUAUCAUCUUGAAGUUUUUGUCCGUACAACAAUGGCGUCAUUCAAUCUGAAUUCGAUGACAUCAUUUUCUCAUUUGCUUGGAUCAUCCACAAAAAUUCCGAUGCUUAUUCCAGAAUAUUAUGAUCAGUGGGCAGAUCGCAUGCAAGAUUACUUGAACGGAUUGGAUGAAGAAUUAUGGAAAUGCAUCUCAGGAGAAAUCAAUCAACCUGCACAAGUUCAGCCAAUCGGUAUGUCUUCAAGCAGUUCGGAAGUCAAUGAUCAAACCAAUCGUUUAAAACAACUGGAGAAGAAAUGCAUGAGGGAAUUAAGAGGUGCUUUGCCUCCUGUUGUGUACAAUUAUGUCAGAACAUGCACAACAGCUAAAGAAAUCGGGAACAAUCUCAAAGACAAAUUUCAAGGAAGUGAAAAGAUGAAGAUCACAUCUGUGAAACAAUGCCUGGUGGAACUCAAAGAUUUCAAACAAAAAGAAUCUGAGUCUAUUGAAGUAUACUAUGAUCGGUUCAACGAACUAAUCUAUCGUUGUAAUCGUUAUAGUAUUACAAGGUCAUCAAUGGAAUAUAACUUGAUAUUUGUAAUGGGACUUCGAAAGGAGUGGAGGAGU
rnacentral:lncRNA from 1 species